rnacentral:rRNA from 1 species
UAAUACGAGGGGUGCUAGCGUUGUCCGGAAUCAUUGGGCGUAAAGGGUCCGUAGGCGGUUUGAUAAGUCAAUUGUUAAAUACAUCGGCUUAACCGGUGGAAUGCAGUUGAAACUGUCAGAAUAGAGUUUAGGAGAGGAAAGUGGAAUUUCUGGUGUAGCGGUGACAUGCGUAGAUAUCAGAAGGAACACCAAUGGCGAAGGCAACUUUCUGGCCUGAAACUGACGCUGAGGGACGAAAGCGUGGGGAGCGAACAGGAUUAGAUACCCUGGUAGUCCACGCCGUAAACGAUGAGUACUUGUUGUCGGGAGAUUCGACCCUCUCGGUAGCGGAGCUAACGCGUUAAGUACUCCGCCUGGGUACUACGACCGCAAGGUUG